AUACCCUAUUAUUUUAAGUGUUAAUUUUACUUACCUGGGUACUAUUAGUUAAGAUCUUUAAACCCAAAGAAUUUGGCGGUAUCUCAUUCCAUUCAGAGGAACCUACCCCGUAAUUGAUAAUACACGAUUAACUUUACUUAAUUUAUUUGUUUGUAUAUCUCCGUUAUCAGAAAAUCUUAUUGGAGUUAUAAUUUUCUUGAUUUAUAAUUGUAAAGUAUUUCAGGUCAAGGUGCAGCUUAUAAUUAAGAGGAGGUGGGUUACAAUAAAUUUUUGUUUAUUAUGGAUUUAAUGGUGAAAUACCAUUAAUAAAGGUGGAUUUGAUAGUAAUUUAAUUUAGUUAAUUUAAUUGAUAUUGGCUCUGAGGUGUGUACACAUCGCCCGUCGCUCUCA
rnacentral:rRNA from 1 species